rnacentral:rRNA from 1 species
UACGUAGGGGGCUAGCGUUGUCCGGAUUUAUUGGGCGUAAAGAGCGUGUAGGCGGCCUGGUAGGUCUGCUGUGAAAACUCGAGGCUCAACCUCGAGCUGUCGGCGGAAACCACUUGGCUAGAGUCCGGAAGAGGAGAGUGGAAUUCCUGGUGUAGUGGUGAAAUGCGCAGAUAUCAGGAAGAACACCUAUGGCGAAGGCAGCUCUCUGGGACGGUACUGACGCUGAGACGCGAAAGCGUGGGGAGCGAACAGG